rnacentral:rRNA from 1 species
AAUUUUGGACAAUGGGGGAAACCCUGAUCCAGCCAUCCCGCGUGUAUGAUGAAGGCCNNNGGGUUNUAAAGUACUUUUGGCAGNGAANAAAAGGUAUCCCCUAAUACGGGAUACUGCUGACGGUAUCUGCAGAAUAAGCACCGGCUAACUACGUGCCAGCAGCCGCGGUAAUACGUAGGGUGCAAGCGUUAAUCGGAAUUACUGGGCGUAAAGCGUGUGUAGGCGGUUCGGAAAGGAAGAUGUGAAAUCCCAGGGCUCAACCUUGGAACUGCAUUUUUAACUGCCGAGCUAGAGUAUGUCAGAGGGGGGUAGAAUUCCACGUGUAGCAGUGAAAUGCGUAGAUAUGUGGAGGAAUACCGAUGGCGAAGGCGGCCUUCUGGGCCUGUUCUGACGCUGAGGAGCGAAAGCGUGGGGAGCAAACAGG